rnacentral:rRNA from 1 species
UACGGAAGGCAGCAGUGGGGAAUAUUGCACAAUGGGCGCAAGCCUGAUGCAGCCAUGCCGCGUGUAUGAAAAAGGCCUUCGGGUUGUAAAGUACUUUCAGUCGUGAGGAAGGUGUUAAGGUUAAUAACCUUAGCAAUUGACGUUAGCGACAGAAGAAGCACCGGCUAACUCCGUGCCAGCAGCCGCGGUAAUACGGAGGGUGCGAGCGUUAAUCGGAAUUACUGGGCGUAAAGGGCACGCAGGCGGUUAAUUAAGUUGGAUGUGAAAUCCCCGGGCUUAACCUGGGAAUGGCAUUCAAGACUGGUUAGCUAGAGUCUUGUAGAGGGGGUAGAAUUCCAUGUGUAGCGGUGAAAUGCGUAGAGAUGUGGAGGAAUACCGGUGGCGAAGGCGGCCCCUGGACAAAGACUGACGCUCAUGUGCGAAAGCGUGGGGAGCAAACGAGGAUUAGAUACCCGU